ACAUACCAAUAUGACAGCUGAUACGAUACAAUCUAACAAAAUUGUUCUGAAUGAAGAAGUUAGUUAAAGACAACUAAGUGCUACUAGAGCCAUCUUACAAAAACCGAACAAUCUUUUUAGCCAACUCAAGUGAAAAGCAACAAGUUUUAUAAAACCGUUUUGUUGGUCCUCAUAUUUUCUAUUGGUCAGACUUUCUUUUUUGGAUGGAAAUAUGUAUGUGCUAUACUUGCUCUUGUCCUAACAUUUGCUUAGUGGGGGUAAAUACCAUUUAAGGUACCCUUUAAGUGUAGGAAGAGCAAUAGAUUUUCUUAAAGGCUAGCUGUAAGAUAAAGCCACUUUAUUUUCCUACACCAUUGUCAUAAAUGAAGUCUGACAGCAAAGAGUGAGUGUCUGUGCCUGAGAAUCGAUUUAUUCCCUACACUACAGGCAUUUAAAAAGGAGAGAGGUGUGUGCCACAGUGAGUGGCCACCUGUUCUGCUUCUAGUCUGGGACUUGAGGCUUGGCCAGUGAUGUGCCAUCAUCAGAAACUGGGUUCUUUUUGUGACAUGUACAAAAUGUGUAGAAAUUCAAGGUCAUCCUACUUUCACUGUACAAUGUAAGUUUGAAUUGUU